AUGUAUUUGGAUCCACAGAACGGUAAGGAACCAAUGCUCAAUGCUGCAGUUCACCUUCUUCAUAAUCACUAAGAGUCACUCGAUCCUCUGCAAGUUCUAGAGAUUAGAGCACGGGGUUUAUAAUCUGUCGCGAUUAAGAGAAUCAGCAGCCACCGGAUUCAAGUCUUUUCACAUCCCUGUUCAUUGGAUGCUUGACACCGGAUUCGUCAGUUAGGUCUAUACUCCGAGGAAUACGUCUUAUGCUAGUGAGGAAAUUGAUGUGGUUCGUGAGCAAUGGGCUGCAAGUAUUUAUUAUUGGCCUAGGGGCGCUUGAUCGAGUUAGUUUAGAUAUUAUAGAACAAUCUUUUAUGUUAAAAUGUAUGCAUACGUUGAAAUUGGAACAUACAUAUAUUUAAAUGUAUA